rnacentral:rRNA from 1 species
GAUGAACGCUAGCUACAGGCUUAACACAUGCAAGUCGAGGGGCAUCAGGAAGAAAGCUUGCUUUCUUUGCUGGCGACCGGCGCACGGGUGAGUAACACGUAUCCAACCUGCCCUUUACUCGGGGAUAGCCUUUCGAAAGAAAGAUUAAUACCCGAUAGUAUAAUGAUUCCGCAUGGUUUCAUUAUUAAAGGAUUCCGGUAAAGGAUGGGGAUGCGUUCCAUUAGGUUGUUGGUGAGGUAACGGCUCACCAAGCCUUCGAUGGAUAGGGGUUCUGAGAGGAAGGUCCCCCACAUUGGAACUGAGACACGGUCCAAACUCCUACGGGAGGCAGCAGUGAGGAAUAUUGGUCAAUGGACGAGAGUCUGAACCAGCCAAGUAGCGUGAAGGAUGACUGCCCUAUGGGUUGUAAACUUCUUUUAUACGGGAAUAAAGUGAGGCACGUGUGCCUUUUUGUAUGUACCGUAUGAAUAAGGAUCGGCUAACUCCGUG